UGUGCUUGUUUGUUUUUACCCUGUUUAGUUAUGGAUUUGUAAUGGUUUAGCUGUUUUGUCCCCAUGUGGGGUUUUUUCUGUUUAUUAAUUGAAUUUUGUGUUAAGCAAUGUUUUCUGUGUCAGGGUUCUGUGUAGUAAACCCUGACAAAAUUAUAAGAGAACUUUAAUUUAUUGAUGAUCUAUUGCUUUAAGGAGGAACCAUUUGUUCACAAUCUUCCUGCAGCUAAAGGAUCUUCAUCUCUUCUCUCAGAGCUGCCAGUCUCUGUAUCCUCCUCUGAAGCUCCUGCCUGAGCUGAUCCUUCUCCGCCUCAACGAUCUGGUUUACCCAUGACGAGGCAAUUCACAGUUCACAGAAGAUGUGUUAAAGGGCAACAUCUCACCCGUCUUUGAGAAACUGUCUCCUCCAGCUGCCGAAGCUCCUCACUGACUUUGAGAAUUUGCUUUUCUUUAUCUUCGAUUUCUUCAUGUAAUAUCUGCAAUCGCUCCUCAGCUAAAAACAUAUUGUAUGUUAGGAAAAGUGCAGAGUUGUAAACAUUACGGAUACUGCAAAAGGUGUGUCAACACUUAAGGCACAGAUCAGGGGUUUUCAAACUUUAUGAUGCUAAGGACCCCCAAAUAUGAUGAACCUUUUGUGUGGAACCAUACCUAAAAAAAAAAUAUAGCAAUUUAUAUAUUUUAUGUAAAACAAAUAAAUGCUGGAUGUAUAAAC